UACGUAGGUGGCAAGCGUUGUCCGGAAUUAUUGGGCGUAAAGCGCGCGCAGGCGGUCCUUUAAGUCUGAUGUGAAAGCCCCGGGCUCAACCUGGGAAUGGCGAUGGAUACUGGCUCGCUAGAGUGCGGUAGAGGAGAGUGGAAUUCCCGGUGUAGCAGUGAAAUGCGUAGAGAUCGGGAGGAACAUCAGUUGCGAAGGCGGCUCUCUGGACCAGCACUGACACUGAGGCACGAAAGCGUGGGGAGCAAACAGG
rnacentral:rRNA from 1 species